rnacentral:tRNA from 1 species
GGGGAUAUAGCUCAGUUGUUAGAGUGCUUGCCUCACAUGUACAAAUGUACAAGGACCUGGGUUCAAUCCCCAGCACUACA